GCGCCUGUGGCGGAAUUGGUAGACGCGCAAGGUUAAGGACCUUGUGACCGAAAGGUCGUGGAGGUUCGAUUCCUCUCGGGCGCA
rnacentral:tRNA from 2 species